ensembl:snRNA U6 U6 spliceosomal RNA
CUGCUUGUUUAAGCAGCACAUGUACUAAACUUUCGAAGAUACACAGAGAUUAACAGGAUCUUUGUGCAAGGAUGACAAACAAAUUCAUGAAGUGUUCCACGUUUUU